rnacentral:rRNA from 1 species
AAUAUUGCGCAACGGGGGAAACCCUGACGCAGCAACGCCGCGUGAAGGAUGAAGGUCUUCGGAUUGUAAACCUCUUUGAUGAGGGACGAACACAAUGACGGUACCUCAAAAACAAGCCACGGCUAACUACGUGCCAGCAGCCGCGGUAAUACGUAGGUGGCGAGCGUUGUCCGGAAUUACUGGGUGUAAAGGGCGUGUAGGCGGGAAAGCAAGUCAGAUGUGAAAUACCGGGGCUUAACCCCGGGGCUGCAUCUGAAACUGUUUUUCUUGAGUGUCGGAGGGGAAAGCGGAAUUCCUAGUGUAGCGGUGAAUUGCGUAGAUAUUAGGAGGAACACCAGUGGCGAAGGCGGCUUUCUGGACGACAACUGACGCUGAGGCGCGAAAGCGUGGGGAGCAAACAGG